rnacentral:rRNA from 1 species
AACGAACGCUGGCGGCAUGCCUAACACAUGCAAGUCGAACGAACCUUUCGGGGUUAGUGGCGGACGGGUGCGUAACACGUGGGAACGUGCCUUUAGGUUCGGAAUAACUCCGGGAAACUGGUGCUAAUACCGAAUAUGCCCUUCGGGGGAAAGAUUUAUCGCCUUUGGAUCGGCCCGCGUCUGAUUAGCUAGUUGGUUGAGGUAAUGGCUCACCAAGGCGACGAUCAGUAGCUGGUCUGAGAGGAUGAUCAGCCACAUUGGGACUGAGACACGGCCCAAACUCCUACGGGAGGCAGCAGUGGGGAAUAUUGCGCAAUGGGCGAAAGCCUGACGCAGCCAUGCCGCGUGAAUGAUGAAGGUCUUAGGAUUGUAAAAUUCUUUUACCGGGGAUGAUAAUGACGGUACCCGGAGAAGAAGCCCCGGCUAACUUCGUG